rfam:Ralstonia pickettii 12J chromosome 2, complete sequence.
CAACACGCCGCAGGAGAGACCGGGCUCAACGCACACGCGCGCAACGCCCGGCGCCGAUGGAGCAACCACCCCGGAAACUCUCAGGCAAAAGGACUGUGGCGUCGAC